rnacentral:rRNA from 1 species
AUUGAACGCUGGCGGCAGGCUUAACACAUGCAAGUCGAGCGGGGUGAUGGUGCUUGCACUAUCACUUAGCGGCGGACGGGUGAGUAAUGCUUAGGAAUCUGCCUAUUAGUGGGGGACAACAUCUCGAAAGGGAUGCUAAUACCGCAUACGUCCUACGGGAGAAAGCAGGGGACCACUUGUGACCUUGCGCUAAUAGAUGAGCCUAAGUCGGAUUAGCUAGUUGGUGGGGUAAAGGCCUACCAAGGCGACGAUCUGUAGCGGGUCUGAGAGGAUGAUCCGCCACACUGGGACUGAGACACGGCCCAGACUCCUACGGGAGGCAGCAGUGGGGAAUAUUGGACAAUGGGGGGAACCCUGAUCCAGCCAUGCCGCGUGUGUGAAGAAGGCCUUAUGGUUGUAAAGCACUUUAAGCGAGGAGGAGGCUCUUUUGGUUAAUACCCAAGAUGAGUGGACGUUACUCGCAGAAUAAGCACCGGCUAACUCUGUGCCAGCAGCCGCGGUAA